rnacentral:rRNA from 1 species
UAUGGAGGGUGCGAGCGUUGUCCGGAAUCACUGGGCGUAAAGGGCGCGUAGGCGGCGCGGAUAGUCGGCGGUGAAAGCCCGGAGCUCAACUCCGGGUCGGCCGUCGAUACUUCCGGGCUUGAGCACUGUAGAGGCAGAUGGAAUUCCAGGUGUAGCGGUGAAAUGCGUAGAUAUCUGGAGGAACACCGGUGGCGAAGGCGGCAUCCUGGACCGGUAUUGACGCUGAUGCGCGAAAGCCAGGGGAGCAAACGGG